rnacentral:lncRNA from 1 species
AAAGCUCUAAGACUAAGUAAAAAGCUAAAUUUUAGGUAUUCAUAACCCUCAGGUCUCGAUAACAUUAACAGUAAAAGCAUACCAAAGCUUCAAAUGCAUUUCUUAGGCAUUUCAUCAAACACUUGAAAUUCAUGAACUUAGACAUGGGAAUGAUUGAGACAUGUGGGAAUAACAUAAUUAUAACACUAAAAUCAUACAUUGGAGAAUUUAACAUUGGAUUUCAUGC